rnacentral:rRNA from 1 species
AGUUAAUUCAACGGCCGCGUUAUCCUAACCGUGCCAAGUGACCAUCUUCUUUUGUCUUUUAAUUGUGGACCUGAUUUCAAAGGCACUUUAGAGCCUAACUGUCUCUUAUUACAUAUCGAUUAAACUGAUCUUCUUUCACCAAAGCGACAAUUCGACCCUAAGACCAGAACACCCUGUUAAGCUUUUAUUAUUCUAUUAAACCCCAAAAUAGCCUUUUCCGGCUGGGCCACCUUGGAACGUAUGUUUACUACCAAACAUUGCUUCUCAUUCGCACCCCAGGCUAACAAGCCACUAUAGACCCGGUACGUCUGAUAAAUGAACCAUAGUUACUCCAGGGAUCACUGCGCUAUCUUCUUCAAGAGCCCGUAUCAUAGAGAAGGUUUACGACCUCGAUGUUGGAUCAGGACAUCCUAGUCAUGAUCAGUAUCUGAGGGUUCGUUUGUUCAACGAUUAACAGUCCUACGUGAUCUGAUUCAGAAC